rnacentral:lncRNA from 1 species
ACAAUGGAGUAGGUUGGAUCCCUAAUCCAGUCUGCCUUCUAUCCUUAUAAAAGGGGGAAAUUGGAUACAGAGACACAAGCAACGGGAGCAUGCCGUGUGAACAUGAAGGUAGAGAUCAGGUCGAGGCAUCAGCUAGCCAAGGAAAUGCUAAAGAUGGGAGCAAACCCCCGGAAGCCAUGAGAGCGGCCUGGGACAGAUCCUUCCCCAGGGCUUCAUAGGGAGCGUGGACCAGCUGACACCUGAUGUCAGACUUCUAGCUUACAGUCUCACUGAAGAUGUAAUUUUCUUUUUCAAAAUGUCUUCUACGUGGCAAGUUGGCUGCCUCUUCCCAGACAUCUCAUCACUAUUCCAGUCAAGAAGGGGAAGAACAAAAGGCAUACCCACACUAGGUCAGCUCCACUUCACCGCUUUCCUGAAAACUCUCCCCAGAGAGCUCUGUUUUAUCUCAUUGGCUGGGAUGGUGUCUCAUGGCCAGCCCUGGCUUCAGAGGAGGCUGGGAUGAUGAUUAUUAUUUUUUAAGAUGGUGUCUUGCUCUGUUGCCCAGUUUGGAGUGCAAUGGCGUGAUCUUGGCUCAUUGCAACCUCCGCCUCCCGGGUUCAAGCGAUUCUCCUGCCUCAGCCUCUCAAGUAGCUGGGAUUACAGGCCCACACCACCACACCCAGCUAAUUUUUGUAUUUUUAGUAGAGACGGAGUUUUGCCAUGUUGGCCAAGCUGGUCUCAAACUGCAGACCUCAGGUGAUCCACCCACCUUGGCCUCCCAAAAUGCUGGAAUUACAGGUGUGAGCCACCACGCCCGGCCAAGGAUGUUUUUUUUUUAAUUGAAGGUACAUUGCUGCCUGAAACAAAGUCAGGGUUCCAUUAGUGAGGAAAAGAAGAAGAAUGACUUUUGAACAGACAACUAUUGGUUAGUAGAUCCAGGUUUUGUAAAACCUGGAGCCUCUACAGUCCCCCUUAGGAAGAAGAAUUUAAAAACCCCAGUACAAGACUUGGUACAAAAAUGAAAACUUAUUUAGAAUAAUAACAAAUCACAACAAAUUUUAAAAUAUUUUAAGUUGACAAAUAUCAAAAACAUUGUGAAAACAUUAUAAAACUAAUAUAAAAUUGUAUUAAUUGGAUACUUGACAUCCACCUUUAUAAUGUCUUCUUUUUUUUACAUUUUUUGCUUCUUCGUCAUUUUUGAUUACCUCUUUGGAAGCCAAUGAUUUUAUAAUAUUUUUCCUAUGGAGAAAAUAGAUAAUUCAGAGUACUCCUAUAAUGAUGGGAACAAAUUUUAAUGUUGGUUGGAAAACUUUGUCAGCCUCAUAACUCAUUAUUGGUAAUCUCAUGUAGUUUUUUGAGAUUGUUUUCAAAUUUGGAGAAAGGUCUAUCAUUCUUUCAUAAAUGAAUGCUAACACUUGGAAGAAUUCUAUUUCUUCCAGGCUUCUUACUGGGAUUUUAUUAAUUUUCAUGAUGAAAAGCAACUGAACAAUUGCAAACCAGAACAUGACUCGACUAACACCUCCUAAACCUCAGUGCUGGUGCCCAUCACCUGGAGAGGCAUAGGAGAAAUGCAGAUGCCCAGGCUCCUCCACAUCCCACUGAAUUGAAGCCUCAGAGUAGCAGGGUCUAGGAAUCAGUAUUUUACUAAACGCCCUAUGAGACUCCUGCUGAGCAGUCCUGGGCUAUGUGACACCCCCAGUUGCCUUGUGACUCUGAGGGUCUGCAAAUCCAGACCUCUCCUAUUGGAAGAAUGACAUUUUCAACCCUUAUGUCUCUUCCUCUGCCCAUAGACUCCUGGUGCCAGGCACCAUAGCACACACUGCCAGUGCCAUGGCAAGGAGGGCACUCCUGGGAGCCAUUAGCCUGUUCAGGGAGCAACAACUCGACCCACACAGACUGGCUCAGACCUACAUAAACACACCCCACUAAACCCGAACCAAGGCAUCCCCAACUCAAUCCCCCUUCAGCUACAUCCCCAAAAUGCCCUUGGCCUCCGCAGCAGCUCCGAAGUGGGAGGAAGCAUGAUGAGGGCGGCAUAGGGAAAGAGACAGAGGGUAUUAUGGGUUGGAUUGUGUCCUCCAGAACUUGAGUGCUGAAGCCCUAACCCCCAGGAGCUCAGAAUGUGACUGUAUUUGGAGAUAGGACCUUUAAAGAGGUCACUGAGCUUAAAUGAGGUCUUUAGGGUGGGACCUAAUGCAAUAUGCCUGGUGUCCUUAUAAGAAGAGAUUAAGACACAGAAGGAAGCCCCUGUGGAGACACAGUGAGAAGAUGGCCAUCUGCAAGCCAAGGAGAGGGGACUUGGAGGAAACCAACACCUUGGUCUCAGACUUGAAGCCUCCUGAACUGUGAAAAAUAAGUUUCUGUUGUUAAAGCUCUUCAGUCUGUGGAACCCUGUCUUGGAAACCCUGGCAGCCAGCUUAGCCAGUUACAGCUAAAAUAUCUUGCUUUUGGAAAGUAUUUCCAAACACAUGGCCACAUGAACCCAGAGCUCCGGCUCUCCCAGGCCUUGGAAGGGUCUGUACUUAGCUUCACAAGGAAUUCACCCCCACAGCCACCACGUGGUCACUACAUAACCCUCAGGACGACCCAUGAGGCAGGGGGUCAGGUACCACCAAGAUCUCCCUAUUAGGGACGAGAGGUUGGGGCCCAGGGGCUCACUCACAGCAAGCAGCAUGGAAGCCACGAGUCUUCCGAAGCCAAAACUGCUCUCCCCGCCCCGUGUGCCCUGAGCGCACAAGUGGUAGGGAGGAAGUGCCCUGAGCCCUGGAAGUGGUAGGGAGGCAGGUUUCAGCUCCCUAUAAAGACAAACAUUCUCAUCAGAGGGGCUCCUCUCUGGGAAGCUGUGAGCACCCAACACCUGUGAUGGGAUGGCCACUUGCAAAGAUGCUGGAAAGAAACUUCAGUUCCUGCUGCUCUUGCAGAGUAGAGUGUGGUCACCACCACCACUGCGGGGCUGGGCUGCUGGGAUUAAAUUCCACUGUGUCAGGUACCCAUGGUGACCUUAGGCAAGUAAGUGAACCUUUAGUUUCCUUAUCUGUAAGAUUAAUCUUUUAAUCAUAAUAACUGCAUAGGUUUGGGUGGGGAUUCAGUGAGUGAAUAUAUGUGACUCUGGGUUUGUUUCCUGGGCUGCCCUAAUACAGUAUCACAGACUGGGAGGCCUGAAACAACAGACAUUUAUUUUCUCACAGUUAUGCCUGGCCGGAGUCCACAGUCAGGGUGUUGGCAGGGCUGUGCUUCCCCUAGAGGCUCUAGGAGAGGAUCCUUCUUGGCCUCUUCCAGCUCCCGGUGGCUCCAGGAGUUCCUUGGCUUGCGGCCGCAUCACUCCAGUCUCUGCCUCUGUAUUCACAUGGCUUCCUCCUCUUUGUGUGAGUGUCUUUUAUAAGGAUGUCAUUGGAUGGAGGACUCACCCAGAUAACCCAGGAGAAUCUCUUCUCAAGCUCCCUAACUUAAUCAUACCUGCAAAGACUCUUUUUCCAAAUGAGUUCCCAUAUCACAGUUUCCAGGAUGUGGACAUACCUUUAGUUAUUGUGAAUUAUACAGUUAUUUAUCUACAGCUGUGAUAAUUCUAAAGGAGGAAGAGAAGUUGGUAGGAGACCAUGUAACAUGGAGAUUGGCUUGGUCUGAGGGGCAGAGAGUCUUCCUUGAGGAGGUUAGCUUGAGUAUUAGCUAGCUAGAAGAAGAGGAACAGAAACAAUGUCCCAGGGCCAGUGAACAGCAGCAUGAAGGCCCAGAGUUAGGAUUUGACCUUCCACUUGAAAGGGAGCCACUGGGGGCUCUUGGGGCAGGGCGAGAGUGGCAGGAUUAAAGGAGGCCUGUGAGCACGUGUGGAAGAGCAGCCUGACCUCACCAGCCCCGUGGAAGAUCCCACCAAGACCGGUGCACAUCUACUGUGCUGGCACUCUGCCUAGGCACCAGGAACACAGCAGGGAAACAGCUGUUUGUGCCCCCAAGGGCUCAUGGGCCAGUGGGAGAGACAGAAGAGUACAUGGAUCAUUCUGAUGGGGUAGCCCUGGGCUAUAAAAGUGCACAGGAAGGGGCCAGGUGCAGUAUCUCAUGUCUAUAAUCCUAGUGCUUUGGGAGGCUGAGGCAGAAGGAUCCCUUCAAACCAGGAGUUCAAGCCAGCCUGAGCAGCAUAGCAAGACCUUGUCUCUAC